rnacentral:rRNA from 1 species
GACGAACGCUGGCGGCGUGCUUAACACAUGCAAGUCGAACGAAGUGGCGAACGGGUGAGUAACGCGUAAUAAACCUGCCCUUCAGAGGGGGACAACAGUUGGAAACGACUGCUAAUACCGCAUACGGCAGGAGGGGAUUGCGUGGGAUUAGCUAGUUGGAGGGGUAACGGCGCACCAAGGCGAUGAACAGUAGCCGGUGUGAGAGGAGGAACGGCCACGUUGGGGCUGAGACACGGCCCAGACUGCUACGGGAGGCAGCAGGGGGGAAUCUUGCGCAAUGGACGAAAGUCUGACGAAGCAACGCCGCGUGAGUGAUGACGGCCUUCGGGUUGUAAAGCUCUGUUAAGCGGGACGCGGUACCGGAAUAGAAAGCCACGGCUAACUACGUGCCAGCAGCCGCGGUAAUUC